rnacentral:rRNA from 1 species
AGCGGCGAGCGAACGGGGAGCAGCCCAGAGCCUGAAUCAGUGUGUGUGUUAGUGGAAGCGUCUGGAAAGGCGCGCGAUACAGGGUGACAGCCCCGUACACAAAAAUGCACAUGCUGUGAGCUCGAUGAGUAGGGCGGGACACGUGGUAUCCUGUCUGAAUAUGGGGGGACCAUCCUCCAAGGCUAAAUACUCCUGACUGACCGAUAGUGAACCAGUACCGUGAGGGAAAGGCGAAAAGAACCCCGGCGAGGGGAGUGAAAAAGAACCUGAAACCGUGUACGUACAAGCAGUGGGAGCACGCUUAGGCGUGUGACUGCGUACCUUUUGUAUAAUGGGUCAGCGACUUAUAUUCUGUAGCAAGGUUAACCGAAUAGGGGAGCCGAAGGGAAACCGAGUCUUAACUGGGCGUUAAGUUGCAGGGUAUAGACCCGAAACCCGGUGAUCUAGCCAUGGGCAGGUUGAAGGUUGGGUAACACUAACUGGAGGACCGAACCGACUAAUGUUGAAAAAUUAGCGGAUGACUUGUGGCUGGGGGUGAAAGGCCAAUCAAACCGGGAGAUAGCUGGUUCUCCCCGAAAGCUAUUUAGGUAGCGCCUCGUGAAUUCAUCUCCGGGGGUAGAGCACU